rnacentral:rRNA from 1 species
UGGGGAAUAUUGGACAAUGGGCGAAAGCCUGAUCCAGCCAUGCCGCGUGUGUGAAGAAGGUCUUCGGAUUGUAAAGCACUUUAAGUUGGGAGGAAGGGCAGUAAGCGAAUACCUUGCUGUUUUGACGUUACCGACAGAAUAAGCACCGGCUAACUCUGUGCCAGCAGCCGCGGUAAUACAGAGGGUGCAAGCGUUAAUCGGAAUUACUGGGCGUAAAGCGCGCGUAGGUGGUUCGUUAAGUUGAAUGUGAAAGCCCCGGGCUCAACCUGGGAACUGUAUCCAAAACUGGCGAGCUAGAGUAGGGCAGAGGGUGGUGGAAUUUCCUGUGUAGCGGUGAAAUGCGUAGAUAUAGGAAGGAACACCAGUGGCGAAGGCGACCACCUGGGCUCAUACUGACACUGAGGUGCGAAAGCGUGGGGAGCAAACAGG